rnacentral:sRNA from 1 species
CUUCCCUUCCCGUCCUUCCCGCAGUUCACCAACCGCUGCCUGCUCAAGUGGCUGAAGUUGUGGGACCUGGUGGUGUUUGGCCACCAGAGGCCUGCCCGGAAGCCCAGGCCCAGUGUUGAGCCGGCCCGGGUCAGCAAGGAGGCCACAGCCCCAGGCAAGUGGAAGAGCCACGAACAGGUGCUGGAGGAGAUGCUGGAGGCUGGGCUGGACCCGAGCCAGCGACCGAGGCAGAAGUGAUGACCGUAGCCCGGAGCUCUUCCGUACACGCAUCGAGGCGGCCACCCAGAUGGAGUCGGUGCUGGGUGCUGGCGGGAAGCCCAACUGCCUGGUCAUCGAUGAGAUCGACGGGGCCCCCGUGGCUGCCAUCAACGUCCUCCUGAGCAUCCUGAACCGCAAGGGGCCACAGGAGGUGGGGCCGCAGGGCCCGGCUGUGCCUUCGGGAGGCGGCCGACGGCGCCGGGCAGAGGGGGGGCUCCUCAUGAGGCCCAUUAUCUGCAUUUGCAAUGACCAGUUCGCACCGUCCCUGCGGCAGCUGAAGCAGCAGGCCUUCCUGCUCCACUUCCCACCGACUCUGCCCUCGAGGCUGGUGCAGCGGCUCCAGGAGGUU